AUGGACAGAUCUUAAAAGAGCCUCCGAAGGUGCCUGAGCCAGCCUCCGCUCAGAAGGCUUCUGGCCGUGCUCCUGGCCGCCUCCUCUCCUCACACGGCUUUCUCGCGCUUCAACACGAGCUUCAACACGUGCCUCGACACGCCUCUCAACAGCGGACGCUACGCAGCCGCAUGCGCGCGCAUGAGCGCAAGACAGACGCGCGUCCCUCUCCGACCGCCGCCAUGACACCUUCUUCUAACGACACGUCAGCUCCGUGACGGCGAGGGUGUUUAAGAACAAUUUUAUUGAGGGCCUUCUAAAGAACACACAUACCUAAUUACGCUAUCAUCUGAUUUAUCAAUUUUUCUUUAUGGAUCAUGCACUGCCCUCAUCUAUGGAAUCUGCAUAACCUAACACCGCAAAGAUUUUCUCCUAUGUCCUUUUCUAGAAAGCUCUACACUUCGGACUAUGUUUUGAGUUAAUUUUGUAUGUGCUGCAAAUUAAAAAAAAAAUACGGAUGUCCAAUUGUUUCAUCAGAAUUUGAACUGAACUAUCUUUGCACGUCUAUUUUAAGUCAUUUAACCAUAUACGUGUGGGUCUAGAUUUCUAGGUUCUCUAUGGGCAAAUAAAAAAUGUUACUUGUGCAGGG